rnacentral:rRNA from 1 species
GACGAACGCUGGCGGCGUGCUUAACACAUGCAAGUCGAACGGAAAGGCCCUGCUUUUGUGGGGUGCUCGAGUGGCGAACGGGUGAGUAACACGUGAGCAACCUGCCCUUGACUUUGGGAUAACUUCAGGAAACUGGGGCUAAUACCGGAUAGGAGCUCCUGCUGCAUGGUGGGGGUUGGAAAGUUUCGGCGGUUGGGGAUGGACUCGCGGCUUAUCAGCUUGUUGGUGGGGUAGUGGCUUACCAAGGCUUUGACGGGUAGCCGGCCUGAGAGGGUGACCGGCCACAUUGGGACUGCGAUACGGCCCAGACUCCUACGGGAGGCAGCAGUGGGGAAUAUUGCACAAUGGGCGGAAGCCUGAUGCAGCAACGCCGCGUGCGGGAUGACGGCCUUCGGGUUGUAAACCGCUUUCGCCUGUGACGAAGCGUGAGUGACGGUAAUGGGUAAAGAAGCACCGGCUAACUACGUG